rnacentral:rRNA from 1 species
UUCUACAGCCAUACCACCCUGAACAAGCCCAAUCCUGUCCUAUCUUGGAAACUAAGCAAGGUCGGGCCUGGUUAGUACUUGGAUGGGAGACCACCUAGGAAGACCAGGUGCUGUAGGUG